UUUUCCCUGGCGUCUUCCUCGGAGGCUGGCAGGAUGAUGAAGAAAUGAUACUGAUAGGAAAGCAAUUCCCUUCAACCAACUCCUGUUUUCCUGAGAAAGCCCGUGGAAGAUCCAGGAGGCCUCUUGAGUACUUGUUGCCUAGAGUGUGAGCCUUGAGAUGACCAUGAGUGGCCAGCCACUAACUGGAGAAUGAAUUCAUAAAAGCUCCAUGUUUCCUGCUAGUUAAUGAGCUGUAAUGACUGCUGGGGAACUCCAUUGGGAGAACACAUUCCCGCUUAACUGCAGGAAAGUCAAAGAACAUCCGAGAAACAAAAACCUCAGUUUUGCAAACGCACAAGAUUUCCGUGUUCUCUCAUAG
rnacentral:lncRNA from 1 species